AGAUUCGGACAAAAUGGAUUCCAAUGGUGAACGGUGGAGCUGAAAAGUGUUCUAGGAUCCCCAUCAUCCUUGUGGGAAAUAAGUCCGACUUGCAGACUGGAAGCUCUAUGGAAACCAUCCUGCCCAUCAUGAACCAGUUCUCAGAGAUUGAGACCUGUGUAGAGUGUUCAGCAAAGAACUUGAAGAAUAUCUCAGAGCUUUUUUAUUAUGCUCAGAAAGCAGUUCUGCACCCAACGGCUCCUCUGUAUGA